rnacentral:piRNA from 1 species
UAGAGAGGGGGAGUUUCUGGGGUGUA